rnacentral:rRNA from 1 species
UGGCAGACGGGUGAGUAACAUGUGGGUAUCUACCCUUUGGCCUGGAAUAACACGAGGAAACUUGUGCUAAUACCGGAUAAGUCUUUACGGAGAAAGCUUUAUGCACCAUUGGAUGAGCCCGCACUUGAUUAGUUUGUUGGUAGGGUAAUGGCCUACCAAGACUAUGAUCAAUAGCUGAUUUGAGAGGAUGAUCAGCCACAUUGGGACUGAGACACGGCCCAAACUCCUACGGGAGGCAGCAGUGGGGAAUCUUGCACAAUGGAGGAAACUCUGAUGCAGCGAUGCCGCGUGAGUGAAGAAGGCCUUUGGGUUGUAGAGCUCUUUCGUCGGGGAAGAAAAUGACUGUACCCGAAUAAGAAGGUCCGGCUAACUUCGUGCCAGCAGCCGCGGUAAUACGAAGGGACCUAGCGUAGUUCGGAAUUACUGGGCUUAAAGAGUUCGUAGGUGGUUGAAAAAGUUGGUGGUGAAAUCCCAGAGCUUAACUCUGGAACUGCCAUCAAAACUUUUCAGCUAGAGUAUGAU